rnacentral:sRNA from 1 species
CUUGGUCAUUUAGAGGAAGUAAAAGUCGUAACAAGGUCUCCGUAGGUGAACCUGCGGAGGGAUCAUUACAAGAACGCCCGGGCUUCGGCCUGGUUAUUCAUAACCCUUUGUUGUCCGACUCUGUUACCUCCGGGGCGACCCUGCCUUCGGGCGGGGGCUCCGGGUGGACACUUCAAACUCUUGCGUAACUUUGCAGUCUGAGUAAACUUAAUUAAUAAAUUAAAACUUUUAACAACGGAUCUCUUGGUUCUGGCAUCGAUGAAGAACGCAGCGAAAUGCGAUAAGUAAUGUGAAUUGCAGAAUUCAGUGAAUCAUCGAAUCUUUGAACGCACAUUGCGCCCCCUGGUAUUCCGGGGGGCAUGCCUGUUCGAGCGUCAUUUCACCACUCAAGCCUCGCUUGGUAUUGGGCAACGCGGUCCGCCGCGUGCCUCAAAUCGUCCGGCUGGGUCUUCUGUCCCCUAAGCGUUGUGGAAACUAUUCGCUAAAGGGUGUUCGGGAGGCUACGCCGUAAAACAACCCCAUUUCUAAGGUUGACCUCGGAUCAGGUAGGGAUACCCGCUGAACUUAAGCAUAUCAAUAAGCGGAGGAAAAGAAACCAACAGGGAUUGCUCUAGUAACGGCGAGUGAAGCAGCAAUAGCUCAAAUUUGAAAUCUGGCGUCUUCGACGUCCGAGUUGUAAUUUGUAGAGGAUGCUUCUGAGUGGCCACCGACCUAAGUUCCUUGGAACAGGACGUCAUAGAGGGUGAGAAUCCCGUAUGCGGUCGGAAAGGCGCUCUAUACGUAGCUCCUUCGACGAGUCGAGUUGUUUGGGAAU